UCAAAAAGUCAGACAAAGGGCUAAAGAUGC
rnacentral:piRNA from 1 species